rnacentral:tRNA from 1 species
GCCGAAGUGGCGAAAUGGCAGACGCGCUAGGUUCAGAUCCUAGUCCUGGUUAAACAGGGUGGAGGUUCGAGUCCUCUCUUCGGCA